GGAGGGGCAGAGAGAGAGGGAGACACAGAAUCGGAAACAGGCUCCAGGCUCUGAGCCAUCAGCCCAGAGCCCGACGCAGGGCUCGAACUCACGGACCGCGAGAUCGUGACCUGGCUGAAGUCGGACGCGUAACCGACUGCGCCACCCAGGCGCCCCAGUCUUUUUUUUUUUUUUUAACAGCUAAUGGGAACUUUGAUGUUGGUAUCUUAAUGGAUGGAAUGGAUGGAAUAAAAGCCAAAACAGGAGAGAUUAUUGAUGUCGAUAAAAUGGAUUCUCCUUUGCAAACUAUGGGGAUGAACCUUUCAGAAGAGGAAAUUAAUGAUCUGACACGUGAUCUACCAGCCGAUGGUGAGUAUUUAAGAUA
rnacentral:lncRNA from 1 species